UAAGCCUGUGAAGGUGUGUCGUGAGGCAUGCUGGAGGUAUCAGAAGUGCGAAUGCUGACAUAAGUAACGAUAAAGCGGGUGAAAAGCCCGCUCGCCGGAAGACCAAGGGUUCCUGUCCAACGUUAAUCGGGGCAGGGUGAGUCGACCCCUAAGGCGAGGCCGAAAGGCGUAGUCGAUGGGAAACGGGUUAAUAUUCCCGUACUUGGUGUUACUGCGAAGGGGGGACGGAGAAGGCUAUGUUGGCCGGGCGACGGUUGUCCCGGUUUAAGCGUGUAGGUGUGUGUUCCAGGUAAAUCCGGUUCACUUUAACACUGAGGCGUGACGACGAGGCACUACGGUGCUGAAGCAACAAAUGCCCUGCUUCCAGGAAAAGCCUCUAAGCAUCAGGUAACAUCAAAUCGUACCCCAAACCGACACAGGUGGUCAGGUAGAGAAUACCAAGGCGCUUGAGAGAACUCGGGUGAAGGAACUAGGCAAAAUGGUGCCGUAACUUCGGGAGAAGGCACGCUGACACGUAGGUGAAGUGAUUUACUCAUGGAGCUGAAGUCAGUCGAAGAUACCAGCUGGCUGCAACUGUUUAUUAAAAACACAGCACUGUGCAAACACGAAAGUGGACGUAUACGGUGUGACGCCUGCCCGGUGCCGGAAGGUUAAUUGAUGGGGUCAGCGCAAGCGAAGCUCCUGAUCGAAGCCCCGGUAAACGGCGGCCGUAACUAUAACGGUCCUAAGGUAGCGAAAUUCCUUGUCGGGUAAGUUCCGACCUGCACGAAUGGCGUAAUGAUGGCCAGGCUGUCUCCACCCGAGACUCAGUGAAAUUGAACUCGCUGUGAAGAUGCAGUGUACCCGCGGCAAGACGGAAAGACCCCGUGAACCUUUACUAUAGCUUGACACUGAACAUUGAGCCUUGAUGUGUAGGAUAGGUGGGAGGCUUUGAAGCGUGGACGCCAGUCUGC
rnacentral:rRNA from 1 species